CUCGUUACCAGUUUGUUGUUGUGUGAGGAAUGAAAUCGGAAUUGAGAGCGAACUGACAGGGAUUCCAAAUCAGUUUAGAACUGGGAACCGCAGUUGUCAAAUAUGAUGCAAUUAGGCAACGGAAAAGGAAGAAUGACAACCCAUCGACCUCGAUUCAGAAAGUACAGGGAGAUGACACCAACAAAAGCAAACAUCGACAAAGUAUG
rnacentral:lncRNA from 1 species